GUGGGGAAUCUUGCGCAAUGGGCGAAAGCCUGACGCAGCCAUGCCGCGUGAAUGAUGAAGGUCUUAGGAUUGUAAAAUUCUUUCACCGGGGACGAUAAUGACGGUACCCGGAGAAGAAGCUCCGGCUAACUUCGUGCCAGCAGCCGCGGUAAUACGAAGGGGGCUAGCGUUGCUCGGAAUUACUGGGCGUAAAGGGCGCGUAGGCGGACAGUUUAGUCAGAGGUGAAAGCCCAGGGCUCAACCUUGGAAUUGCCUUUGAUACUGGCUGUCUUGAGUACGGGAGAGGGGAGUGGAACUCCGAGUGUAGAGGUGAAAUUCGUAGAUAUUCGGAAGAACACCAGUGGCGAAGGCGACUCACUGGCCCGUUACUGACGCUGAGGCGCGAAAGCGUGGGGAGCAAACAGGAUUAGAUACCCCAGUAGUCC
rnacentral:rRNA from 1 species